rnacentral:rRNA from 1 species
UGCGUAGGCGGUUUGUUAAGUCUGUUGUGAAAUCCCCGGGCUCAACCUGGGAAUGGCAAUGGAUACUGGCAAGCUAGAGUGUGUCAGAGGAUGGUGGAAUUUCCGGUGUAGCGGUGAAAUGCGUAGAGAUCGGAAGGAACAUCAGUGGCGAAGGCGGCCAUCUGGGACAACACUGACGCUGAAGCACGAAAGCGUGGGGGAGCAAACA